CAGAGGGUGCGAACGUUGCUCGGAAUUACUGGGCGUAAAGCGCGUGUAGGCGGGUCGGCAAGUCAGGCGUGAAAUCCCCUGGCUCAACCUGGGAACUGCGCUUGAAACUGCCGGUCUUGAGUAUCGGAGAGGGUGGCGGAAUUCCUGGUGUAGAGGUGAAAUUCGUAGAUAUCAGGAGGAACACCGGUGGCGAAGGCGGCCACCUGGACGAUUACUGACGCUGAGACGCGAAAGCGUGGGGAGCAAACAGGAUUAGAUACCCUGGUAGUCCACGCCGUAAACGAUGGGUGCUAGGUGUCUCGGGUAUUGACCCCUGAGGUGCCGUAGCUAACGCGUUAAGCACCCCGCCUGGGAAGUACGGCCGCAAGGCUA
rnacentral:rRNA from 1 species